UUCUACCUGGCAUAGAAUCUGCGGCAAUCAUUUCUCAAUUAGUGAUUGUAAACAAUGCUCAGUAAAUUAGUAAACACGGUCAGAGGCUGUCUCAAAACAUAAUCCAAACCACUUGUCUGGGAUAGAGAAGUAAAAUAAAUUUUAGUUAUUUACGGCAACAUCGGUACUACUCUGAGCACGACUAGGAAAUCGCAUCUAAGAGAAAACUUUGUUUCUCCAACGAUGGGUUAGCAGAAAAUGAACAGACGAAUAAAGGGUUUCGAGGACUUACAGUUGAUGAUUUUGAUUAGCCCAGAAAAGCCUUACAUACUGAUUAAUGUCUAAUUCACACACACUUAUUUCAUAGAGUGGAUUAUACUUAUUAUUGUUUUCGAAAUUGAAAUAAUAUAUUAUGUACCACAUACAAGGAACUAAGAAGUGGAGCCAGUGUAUUGACAAUUUUUCAGACGUUGACUUUCUUGAAGAUAAUUCUACAGACUCAGAUGAAGCCAUAUAAUAUUGGAGUGAAUUGUGCAACUCAAAGGUAAUACAAUUUUGCUGAGCAAGAAUUAAAUUUUAAUAAAGCAGAGAGCCUCAAAGAAACACAUAACUACUUUGGGCAUUGGUAUCUUUCUUAAAGGGAAAGUGCAUCUAGUUGGAUACGUUAAACAGGUCGUCAAACCCGUUCCCAUUUACAACGAGGAAAUACAAUCUUCAUUGUAAAAAAGAGUAUGCAAUUACCAAAAAGAUUCAGUGGUUGUUAUUAAAAUACUUCAACUAUCGACAAUGGACAUAAUUGAUGAAGACUUAUAUUAUAUUGUGAUAGAUAUAGAUUUCCAAAAAAUCAAUGAAAUAAAGACUAAAAAUCUUCGAAUUAAAUGAUUAUCCCAAUUUCUACCUGGCAUAGAAUCUGCGGCAAUCAUUUCUCAAUUAGUGAUUGUAAACAAUGCUCAGUAAAUUAGUAAACACGGUCAGAGGCUGUCUCAAAACAUAAUCCAAACCACUUGUCUGGGAUAGAGAAGUAAAAUAAAUUUUAGUUAUUUACGGCAACAUCGGUACUACUCUGAGCACGACUAGGAAAUCGCAUCUAAGAGAAAACUUUGUUUCUCCAACGAUGGGUUAGCAGAAAAUGAACAGACGAAUAAAGGGUUUCGAGGACUUACAGUUGAUGAUUUUGAUUAGCCCAGAAAAGCCUUACAUACUGAUUAAUGUCUAAUUCACACACACUUAUUUCAUAGAGUGGAUUAUACUUAUUAUUGUUUUCGAAAUUGAAAUAAUAUAUUAUGUACCACAUACAAGGAACUAAGAAGUGGAGCCAGUGUAUUGACAAUUUUUCAGACGUUGACUUUCUUGAAGAUAAUUCUACAGACUCAGAUGAAGCCAUAUAAUAUUGGAGUGAAUUGUGCAACUCAAAGGUAAUACAAUUUUGCUGAGCAAGAAUUAAAUUUUAAUAAAGCAGAGAGCCUCAAAGAAACACAUAACUACUUUGGGCAUUGGUAUCUUUCUUAAAGGGAAAGUGCAUCUAGUUGGAUACGUUAAACAGGUCGUCAAACCCGUUCCCAUUUACAACGAGGAAAUACAAUCUUCAUUGUAAAAAAGAGUAUGCAAUUACCAAAAAGAUUCAGUGGUUGUUAUUAAAAUACUUCAACUAUCGACAAUGGACAUAAUUGAUGAAGACUUAUAUUAUAUUGUGAUAGGUACCUAUUUCCUUUAAUUUGUGUACUUAUUUUUCCUAUGUUUCCCCCACCACCCAUCCGAAAGUAAUUAGUUACUUUAUUUAACCAAAAAAAAACUAUACCUAUACACUGUGCAGUCAUGUUU